rnacentral:rRNA from 1 species
GAUGAACGCUAGCGGCAGGCUUAACACAUGCAAGUCGAGGGGUAUAGAAAGCUUGCUUUCUAGAGACCGGCAAACGGGUGCGGAACACGUACACAACCUACCUCUAUCAGGAGGAUAGCCUUCGGAAACGGAGAUUAAUACCCCAUAGUAUUAUGGAGUGGCAUCAUUUUAUAAUUAAAGAAUUUCGGAUAGAGAUGGGUGUGCGUAAGAUUAGCUAGUUGGUGAGGUAAAGGCUCACCAAGGCAACGAUCUUUAGCUGAUAUGAGAGCAUGACUAGCCGCACGGGCACUGAGACCCGGGCCCGACUCCGACGGGAGGCAGCAGUGAGGAAUAUUGGUAAAUGGACCGAAGUCUGAACCAGCCAUGCCGCGUGAAGGAUGAAGGCGUUCUGCGUUGUAAACUUCUUUUAUUUAGGAAGAAACCACUUUUUUUUAAGAGUGUUGACGGUAUUAAAUGAAUAAGCACCGGCUAACUCCGUGCCAGCCGCCGCUGUAACAC